UCUCACAUAAACAAUGUUUGUUACGAUUUCGACAAAACACAACUCGUAAAAUUCUGCACUUUGUUUCGAAGAUAGAUUUUGAUAUCAAUCUUGUUUUGCAUAGAAGGCAGUGAUAAUAUUGGGCUUCUAGGGUUAUUAAAGGAAUUGGGGGAAUUCACCAUCAAGAGCUUGAACGGAAUUAAUGAGUGAAGGUAGGAGGCGAAGUAGCCGUUUGAUUGAAAGCCCCUUGGGUUUCUAAUUUUCUGAAGAAGAGUCCAGUGUUUGUGAAUUUGGAUGACGACUUUGUGACAGAAAGACGGAAAUAGUUGUGGGUUAUAAUAGGUCCUCGGAGAGAGCAAGACAAAAGUAAACAGACGUUAAAUAUUCUUAAGAAGAGCUGAUGAAGUCCUGCAGUUUAGAUGUUCGCAAUGAAAGGGUGUACGACUCUAAAUUUGGAUGAUCUAAAUUGUUCUAGAUUAUUGUUAUAUUUGUUUGUGCACAAAUCUGCACAAGUUCUGUAAUUGUCACGCAACAUGUGUUCCUUUUUUUAAACUAUUAUAAAGUUCAUUGUCAAAGGACUGCGUUUACUAGA